CUUGGAGUGAGACACUAUACUAACUCUGGAGUUCUUAUAGUUAACCAGGAGUUUGAGGUUCUCCAGUGGAGACAGACAAGAAACAAGUUAGCAAUAUGUGACAAGCCCUAAAAGACUCAAGGGAAAAGGAUGCUGGCAGUGGGGGGUGGGGACGGGUGCAGUUCUGAGAAGGAGAAUAGGUCUGGGCUGAUGUGGUGAUGUGGAUAGAUCCACCUGCAUACCUGCCGUCAUGUUCAGAGCAGCAGGAGAGAGACAACGGAGGGGAGGAGUCCUGUGAACAUCUACUGAAGGCUUCCUGAGAUCACAGAGGCAUGGGUUAAGACGGCAGAGUCACAAGAUGGAAGAAGAAUGGAUCUUGAACUACCACACGGAUGAGAUCCGCUCUGGAGAUCAUGCAACCUGUAUCAGAUACAUUGAAGAAUUCUUCUGCGGUCAUUCUCAGCACCCCAUGUCGGAAUGACAUUGCUGCAGUUGCCUACACACAUUUGCAAUUGACAGAUCCUGUCAAUAGCAUGAGUCACUCUCGCUACAUAAACGAAGCCAGAAAUAUUGAGACCAAUAUGAACUGGAAGUUACCUGAUGGGGCCAAAACAAUUCUCUGUGGAUUGAAAACACGAAGGUUGAGAGGUGGACAUGAAGGCCUGAGAAGAGACCACCCCUGGGGAUAUAGAUGUGUGAGAUAUUUAGCAAUUUAAUUAAGUCGGUAUCUACAUGUAUCUACUUGUACACCUAUUAUCUGAGUUAACUCCAUAAUACCUGUGUCUGCAUAUCUGUAUAUUUAUGUCCAUUAACAAAUGAUCUGGAAAUUUGAUAGAUGCUAAGAACACAGUUGUUACAAAAAGAAGAUAAUCAGGUUAUCUUUAAUGAACCUAUUAAGAUCAUAUUUCUCUAGUAUCGGUGAUAACAAUUUUAUUAAUAAUAGUGUCAUAUAGGUGAUUCCCUAAAUCAUGGUGCCUAAACAAUGGUUUAGACCGCUGAAAUUUAUUUUUUAAAAAUAACCAUACAGGUCUAAUUCAUGAUUGUAAACAAGAUGGUCUAAAUUUUGGAAUCCACUAGAGUUCCAUCCUUGGCUCUUCUUCAAGCGUCAUCUAUUCUUUACGGGUGACCCCAUUUACUAUGUCAGCUUCGACUGGUCUGUAUACACCAUCAACCUCUGAUUCUGCAUCCAUCAUUCCUCCUGUUCCUGGAUUCUCUUUUUCAUUGUAAAAACCUACUGGACACAAGUGUUUAUCAUCUGAAACUCAGUGUAUCACCUGAAUCCCAGCAAAUCCAAUAAAUCUCUCCUCACUUUGCCCUUUUGGCUCUCU
rnacentral:lncRNA from 1 species